UCCCUAAUGGCUCAGCUGGUAAAGAAUCUGCCUGCAAUGCAGGAGACCUGGGUUCAAUCCCUGGUUUGGGAA
rfam:TPA: Bos taurus chromosome 24, whole genome shotgun sequence.